AUUGAACGCUGGCGGAAUGCUUUACACAUGCAAGUCGAACGGCAGCACGGACUUCGGUCUGGUGGCGAGUGGCGAACGGGUGAGUAAUGUAUCGGAACGUGCCCAGUCGUGGUGGAUAACGUAGUGAAAAUUACGCUAAUACCGCAUACGAUCUAUGGAUGAAAGCGGGGGGUCGCAAGACCUCGCGCGAUUGGAGCGGCCGAUAUCAGAUUAGGUAGUUGGUGGGGUAAAGGCCCACAAAGCCAACGAUCUGUAGCUGGUCUGAGAGGACGCCCAGCCACACUGGAACUGAGACACGGUCCAGACGCAUACGGGAGGCAGCAGUGGGGAAUUUUGGACAAUGGGGGCAAGCCUGAUCCAGCCAGUCCGCGUGCAGGAUGAAGGCCCUCGGGUUGUAAACUGCUUUUGUACAGAACGAAAAGGUUUCUACUAAUACUAGGAGCUCAUGACGGUACUGUAAGAAUAAGCACCGGCUAACUACGUGCCAGCCGCCGCCGUAA
rnacentral:rRNA from 1 species